AUCUUUAAUUGCCAGCAUUCAGUUGGGCACUUUAAAGAGACUGCCGGUGUUAAACCGGAGGAAGUGGGGAUGACGUCAAGUCCUCAUGGCCUUUAUGCUUAGGGCUACACACGUGCUACAAUGGGUGGUACAAAGAGAAGCCAACUCGCGAGAGCGCGCCAAUCUCAAAAAGCCAUCCUCAGUUCGGAUUGGAGUCUGCAACUCGACUCCAUGAAGGUUGGAAUCGCUAGUAAUCGCGGAUCAGCAUGCCGCGGUGAAUACGUUCCCGGGCCUU
rnacentral:rRNA from 1 species